rnacentral:lncRNA from 1 species
UGUGGCCAGUGCCUGUGUGCCCACAGGCUUGUCGUCCUGGACCCACUCAAGCUGGCUGAUAGGCCCUGUGAGUUCCCCCGACACCUCCUCAGGAGAGGAAGUAUGGACAGUCCCCACAGGUCCCAAGGCAUAGUUCACCACUCUCGGGGGACACAAAGUUCUUUAAGAGAUGUCACAGAUUUUAAUCACCCCCCCCAGACUCAAACCCUGGGAGUACCAAAGGCUUCACGCUCUGAUGCUGUGGAGGUGACCUAGGAGGUGACAAUCACAGCGUGCCCACUUUGGAAUAGUAAGUGACUAAGUAAAAAUGCAGAAGUAAAUGUAUCGGAAAACCCAAAGGAAUCAACUAGAAAACCUCCCUACUCUAAAUAACAAGGGCUGGGGAAGGGCAGAGGGGAGGGCGGGCCAAUUCAAGGAGCUACGCCAUCAUCAUCAUUGAAUAUUACUCAAGAAGGCCUACGCAAGAAGUAUCCUCUCCACACACACCCAGGUUUCUCUGUGCUAAGCCACCUCUCCUGGCCUCCCCCUCCUCCCUCUUUCCCUUCUGUCCAUUCUUCUCCCCUCUCCCAUUCCCAAUGCCUUCCCUGUCUCUACUACCCGCUUCUGCCCCCUCUGCCCUCCCACCCUCC